UACGAAGGGGACUAGCGUUGUUCGGAAUUACUGGGCGUAAAGCGCACGUAGGCGGAUUUGUUAGUCAGGGGUGAAAUCCCGGGGCUCAACCUCGGAACUGCCUUUGAUACUGCAAAUCUCGAGUCCGAUAGAGGUGGGUGGAAUUCCUAGUGUAGAGGUGAAAUUCGUAGAUAUUAGGAAGAACACCGGUGGCGAAGGCGGCCACUGGAUCGGUACUGACGCUGAGGUGCGAAAGCGUGGGGAGCAAACAGG
rnacentral:rRNA from 1 species